rnacentral:lncRNA from 1 species
GAAAAGCUAAGAAAGCACAUUACUUUCCCAGAAAGCCAAGAAACUACAAUUUGCCAGGAUGCAAAAUGCUAUACAAAUGUCUGUACGUAUCAGAAAAGUUGAGAAGUAAAUUUUGGGGAGGAAAUGAAGUUGCUGAAUCAUCAUGGUAACGAGAAUUAAGUGGUAGCUGAUGGAAAAGGAAGGCAGUUUAAGCAUUUGGGAAAAUUUGGAAGACUGGAACUUAAAAGCAGAAGCACAUCUGAAGAAGAAUAGGCACAUCUCUGUCCCAAAUCUUUACCAUGAUGACCAGACAGUAAUGAGGAUGCUUCACACAUUUGUAAGUAAGGCAUAGUUUACUUGUUAGACAGUCAGUCCUGGAAAUAUUCCCACAAGAACAUCCUUAUUGUAUCUUUAUUCUAAUGAUAAAGUGUUGGAGGAGUGAGAGUAUUAAAAUGUAGGAAUUUGCUUAUGUGUCUUAAAGGUCUAAGUAAACAGUUCAGUGUAUUUUCCGAAAGGUGCAACAAUGCUAAAUGAUAUGAAUUUCUGCUGCUGAGAGAUUGCCUGUUUUCUAUAAGUACCACUCAUUCUCUUGCAAGGAGUUCUAAGUUCUACUGAUAUACUGGAAAAUCUAACUGAUGCCAAAAUGUAAAUCUUGUCAUUUCAUGUUUACAUGCAAAUUCUUUUCUAUGUCAUCCUCUGCCAAAUCUAAAUUCUAAGAACCUAAUAGUAAAAUGCCUUCUACAAUCUACAUAUAAUCCUUUUUGCAUAGUUCCUGUGUGUGUGAGUGGGGAAUUUCCACUGAAAUUUAUUUUAAUUAUUAACUUUUCUAUGAAAGCUCAUGAAAACAGGCACAGCUGACAU